UAAUUAAAUAUUACAGUUUCAUAUACUUGUCAUUAUGAUAGAUAAAGCUCUUAAUGUAGUGUUAGAACAGGAGCCAUCACAAUUACAAAAUGACACAUAGACAAGUAGUAGAGUGUAUGCUGAUCGGUAUCGCGCGGAGACAGCACCUACAUGCGCGCAACCUGUCACCGACGGCCUUCUCUUGUAACCCACAUAUUGUUCAAUAUACAUCUGUAUCACUGAAAAAUUUAAUGUAUUCAAUUUCUCUGGCAGCGACGUGGUCAAAUUUAUUUUCAUUUGUCAUGCGUGGGCAGCCAUGUUCUGAUCUAGCAGAACAGAGAACCCUGUACUGGAUGAUAUUUGUGAAAUACUUACGAGAGAGAUACUAAGAAUUUUAUUUAAGUAAUUGUGUAUUUAUUUAUUGUAAAUAUAAAUAGAAUAAAAUUGUCGUAUGGCGAUCGUUCCGGGCAUAUAUUUUUAAAUGUACCCUAUCAUGUCUAUGUGACUUUAUGUUAUAUGAUUAUUGGUAAAACGAUUAUAAUGUACGAAUAAAA